rnacentral:lncRNA from 1 species
UGAGCAGCCUCACCUUGGAAAGUAUGGACUGUUGAAAAUGAUCAGCAAGGGAAACUUUGCAAAAGUAAAAUUGACAUAACACAUCCUUACAGGCAGAGAGGCUACAAUAAAAAUAAUUGACAAAACUCAGUUGAAUCCAACAAGUCUACAAAAGCUCUUCAGAGAAGUAAGAAUAAUGAAGAUUUUAAAUCACCCAAACAUAGUGAAGUUGUUUGAAGUCACAAAAAAAAACAAAACACUCUACUUAAUCAACAUGAAGUAUGCAAGUGGAGGUGAAUUUUUUUGACUAUGUGAUUGCACAGAAGAAUGAAGAAAAAAAGAAGCAAGAGCUAAAUUUAGACAAAUCGUGUCUGCAGUACAGUAUUGCCAUCAAAAGCGAUUGUUCACAGAGACCUCAAGGCAGAAAAUCUGUUGUUAGAUGCAGAUAUGAACAUUAAAAUAGCAGAUUUUUGUUUUAGCAAUGAGUUUACUUUGGUCACUAAACUAGAUACAUUUUGUGGGAGUCCUCCAUAUGCAGCCCAAG